AGCGGGAUGAUAUCAGUUUUGGAAAUGGGUGGAUUUUCAUCAUUACUUGGUUUGUUUCAGAUUUUUAUAUGUAUUUUACCUUGGUUUCAAAUUUUUCAUAUUUUUAUUUUCUAUUAUUUUUAUUGUUUUUUUUAUAUUUGUGUUACUUUUAUUGUUAUUGUUAUUUUUUACAUAUUUAUUUUUAUAUCUUAUUAUUUUUAUUGAUAUUUUUAUUAAUGUAAUGUUUAUUUUAUUUUUAUUUUUCUAUUGUGUAUUAUUUUUCUAAUUUUUAUUGUUUUUUCUUCUGUCUCGACUGCCCUUAGGGGUUGUGUAAGACACAGGUGGAGAUAAUGUAUGACCCACAUUGAUAACAGUAAUGUUUACCUGAUAAAAAAAAUUUUCUUGACGCAAGUAUUUUUUUACUCAUAACCUCUUGACAAUACUCUGAAACGCACCGGUUGUACCGCUCUUGUUUUGUGUUCUUCCAGGAUUAAUAGUAUUUUCUAUUAAUCCUGGUGUUCGUCAUUGGAAUAAUCCUGGCGGUUGAUGACAAGCUUGGUUGCGUUGUUAUGAGAGAGAGAGAGAGAGAGAGAGAUGGAAUUGAUAUUAAAACAUGUAAUUAAAAAAUAGCUGUUUAGCAUUAAUGUAGGAAUCUGUGGAAUUUCCAGUCGAGAUUUUUUCCUUCCUUUUUUGCAAAAGGAAAACUAAUCUGUCUCUCUCUCGGGGUUGGAGAUUGGGUCUUUGCCCGCGGCCUUUCGUGAACCCAAUUCCCAAGGUAUAUAGAUAGGGGAGUGGUGCGUGCAUCCAAUAUCAUCAGACUGAUCUCUUCCUCGAAAUCAGGGAAGACUCAAUUGAGUUGACGAGGCCUCGAGAAAUGAACCAGAGGAGAAUGGAAAUUCUGUAAAAAAAAAAAAAUAAUAAUAAUAAUAAUAAAAAUAUAUGGGAAGUGUGCAGAGUUAGUCUCUUCUUUCUGUAUUUACCUUGACCACCUCUUACUUCUUCCUAAUAACACCAUAUUCUUUGGAAGCUUGACGUUCAAUUCAAGUCAGUGGUCCCUAUGGGCCUGUUUUGUAUGAAAAACAGUUCAUCUUCUGAAUAAUAAUAGUAAUAUAUUUCGUCUCGCAAACGGUGUUGUGGUAUUCAGCUUAAAAAUUAAUAAUUGUAAUGCAAUAUAUAUAAAGCCUUUUUAACUAUAUAAACCAUUAUUUUUAAUAGUGGAAGACUGUCCAGAGAAGCUUUUAAAUUGUUUCUUUCGAAACGAUAAUUCAACUGACUCUGUGCUUACUGCAUUGAAUGUAGUCUUUCCCCUGCACCUCUGAAAACAGAGAAAUAACUACGCAGUCUUAUCUGGUGGUAACGUGACUCAUUACAGAAAUAACAUCCCCAAGGAGUCCAUGAAAAGUCCCUUCGCGUGACAAGGCACCGAAGCCAAGCAAGGGAACAGUCACGUAAAAUUCAUAUCGUCAGCAUCGCAGUUUUUCCAAGACCCUCCUUUCUUUCGAAUGGGGUCAGAAUUAUUAUUAUAAAAACUGUCAAGUAUACUUUUGUCCGUAUACUGACACGUAGGAUUGUAAUAGUUAGCAGUGGUUUGCCAUGGUCUGAGCAACCCAAAGCGUCAUCAAGUUUGCGUGGCCUUGAAAGGAAAUUUAAAUCUUCCUGCUUAUCAACUUUAACGGUCAAGUCGGCGAAUGCUUGAGCAACCCCACGCGCUAAAAAUAGGGAGGCUGGAUGUGGGGAAAGGUCAUCCUCUCCUCGUAUCAGUAUCGCUCGCAGUCGCGCGAUAUUUACUUUUACUUUCAGGAUGUCGAUGGUGCUUGAUCGGUAGCGGUCUUGUAAUGGCUUUUCGAAAUUAAGUAUGGUUCAGACUUCACUUCUACACACUUUUGUUUAGCUUUUCCUAUUUCAGUGAAAGAAUGAUUGUCUGGGUCUGGCGAUAUUUGUUCAAUAGACGUCAGAGUUGAUGGUCCAGUUCUGAUGAUAUUUUUUUUUAAUAGACGUCAGAGUUGAUGGUCCAGUUCUGACGAUUAUUUUUUCAUCAAAUAGACGUCAGAGUUGGUAGUCCAGGUCUGACGACAAUUGUGUAAUAGACGUCAGAGUUGGUGGUGCAGUUCUAGCGAUUUUUUUAUGGACGUCAGAGCUGAUGGUCCAAUUCUAACGAGUAUUUUUUUUUAAAUAGACGUCAGAGUUGAUGGGAAACACUGCAACUAGAUUAAGUUUAUAGAAGAACAGUUAUGAAAUGAAGCAGAGUAUUACCCAGUUCCUCCACUGUGUUCAUGAUUGUUUUUCCAUUAUUGUUUUUCCAUGGGUGCUAACCUAACAGUUCUUUCAUAGUUCGAGGUUUUCCUCCUGUUAACCAUCCAAACCCUUUUUCCUUUCUUUUUCCCUUUCAACGCCGAAUGACCUCAUGGGUCCCAGCGCUUGGCUUUUGGUCUAAAUUUUAUGGUCCGUAGCUAAUUAACCUAGAGAUGGUUUGAUGCGAGUCAUGUUUUUGGAUAUAGUGUAUUUUGUUAGCAUAUGUUGCUGGUUUUAAUGAACCGCGGAUACAUGUCAUUUACGGUUUUUAUUGGCUCUCGUUGGUGCAUACGAUGAGCUUCGUCAUGGUGUUUUCCCAUUUGGGAGGUGCUGCAAAUGCAAUGGUGUCUGCGUCGGCUCCCGGACGGGUUUAUUGAUCUGAGAGGGUUGGCGGAGCCGGUGCGUUGGGUGGAAGGAAGGAAAGAGGGCGUAGGGGAUUUUGAGAGGAAUUAUUUCGUCGUUGAAAAAUUAUAACUGUGUGUGUAAGAAGCCUCUUGGUUAAGCCAUGGCAUCUGCGACCUUGUGAAUUGUAGUGAUAUAAUUCAUGAAUUAAAUAGCGGUCAAACCCCAUCCCUCGGUACUUGAAAAGGGACACUGCUUCGCCCGUCCUAUGGCCCUCUGCUCUUAGAGAUGACUGAAUAAUUCCAUAACUGGAAGGAACUGCCUUUCAUUAUUGGUUAGACAGUAUACUCUUGACUGCCCCACCCAACUGACAAUAUUCUUCUUUGGUUCAAGACAAAAAAUGGUCCUUGUUAUCUGGGUUAUCUUGAAAGGUUUAGAAGGCCAAUUUGAUUUUGCUUUAGUUUGUACACAUUGCCGUCGAUGUUGCUGACUUCAGCGUAAUCAUUUCAGCCAAAAAAAUGUAAUCAGACCGUAUCAACGCAAAAUGAUGUAUACCACUGAUAAACUGGCUGACGAUAACGUUAUUUACUAACGAGGUAUGAUGAUGGUCUGUGACGUACAAGCCUGGGGACUUGGGUGAGGUCGCCCACUGGCACUUGUGGUAACAUACAAUUUCACAGCUGUUCUUGACAGCAUCGCUCGUUUUACAGUCUGUUCUUUGAGGAGCAAAAGUCAGUCAAUUAGGAGUAUUAAAACUACACUAGCUUUAAUUGUUGAAAAAAAAAACUUAUUUCGGUCAUUAAAGACUAAACUAUCAAGUUUCCAAUAAAUAGGAUAUCAGUGUGGGAAGGAGGAAGACAGCUGAGAAUACAGAAGUUUAAUUAUGUAAACUUAAAUAUAUAUUUGUGGAGUUGAAUUACCGAACAAAAUUGUGGCUUUUAGGCGAAUCAUUCCAGUCAUUCUUAAGUUUCGACACUUGCACACUUCCGCGAAGAUUCAUCCUCUGGUGCUGUUAUUUGAGUGGUUGCUGAUGUUAUGAGUAAUGCGUAGCAAGCAGUAAAAACGUCGAAAAAAAGUAUUAGCCGAAAUGAAAGUAAGGAACAAAUUUGCCUGUGAGAUAAAGGCAAGGUCGUUGGAUACCGCUAAGGUAAUAGCUUGGUGGAUGGAAUCGAUCAAAAGAUGUAGGGAUUCUGCGCUUAGGAGGUAUGGCGAAGGAUGCCAACCUGUUUGGUUACAUAUAUAUUUGUAAUUAUAACCAUUGAGUGAGGUAACUUUGCGCCCAAGGCUAUGCAAAGGGUUAGCAAAUUACACAGUGAGCAUAUCUUUAACAGCGGUUCUUUAGGAAAUAUACACAGUACAAGGCUUGUUUACAAAGAAUCAAACGUUUACCUUUGAAGAUAAAUUAAUCUACGGGAGCUCCUGUAGAUGUACGGUGGACAUAAUUGUAUGUGACAGGAAUUAAUCUAUAGCAGGAAGUAGCAUCAACAUAAGGAAGACGCUACCGCACCAUUAGCUUACCGGUCGUCCCAUUUCUCAGGGUUACUCAUAUUGCAGACUUCCUUGUUGCAGGUAACAGGAUUUCUCAUAAGGAAAUUCAGUGCGAACAGUUCUAUAACAUAUUGCGAGAGAAUGGAAUGGCCUGGGUGACUACUUUAAGACCCCAGAACCCUCACUAUUCCAGCUAGCAAAACCGUACUAUUUUUUCCUAAUUAGCCAACGGUCAAUAGCCAGAUGUUUAUGCCCUUCACUGCAUUAUGUAACAUCGAGGUUUUAUCAUGAAUUCUCACACGUGGGCGGGAGUGUGUGGAUCAGCGAUAGGGGGAAGGGAACGGGAUCCUAUGAACCCCUUGCCCAAACCCUACCCCACCCUUACCAUAGCUGGCUGCAACGUGUCACGUGGAUCCGAACAUGGGUUUCCAGCAUAGCAGCUUGAACUUGGUUACACCCAUAGUCGCGUCUACUACAUUCCGGCUGCUCCUCUCCGUCCACGCCGCUUUCAACGUGAUCUGCGGAUGCUGUUGCCACGUAUGGGAUGGGAGGGUAUAGGAUGGCGAGGGAUGCUGUGCAGAGGAGGGUAGGGGGUCAGUGGAGUCGGGGCUUGGCCCAAGGUAUUUUGCCUUGGUUCCCUGCAGGCUCUAGACCAGGGUUUCCUUUGGGUUGGAUGGUAACAAAGAAAGGAAUUUUACUAUGUUCUCUCUCUCUCUCUCUCUCUCUCUCUCUCUCUCUCUCUCUCUCUCUCUCUCUCUCUCUCUCUCUCUCUCUCCUUUAACCAUGCAGAUCUGCAGAUAUGUCUAAACCUUCUUGGACUGUGAAGUUUGGUACAGUAAUUGCAAAUGUUUAUAUGAGUGAAGUCUUGCUUUCGUACUAUAAAUAAAUAGAGAAGCAGGUUUCAUUAGUAGAACGCAAAUACUAGUUUUAGUGAUAUACUGACCAUCAGUGUGUUAGUACUGGACUUCUGAUUUAUGUCGUAAAUUAUUAAUUUGGUCAGUGUUUUCAUUACAGAUAUUUAAAAAGAUUUUAUGUAUUAAUGGAUAUUGGUAUUGGCAAUGGGAAAAUUCUCUCUCUCUCUCUCUCUCUCUCUCUCUCUCUCUCUCUCUCUCUCUCUCUCUCUCUCUCUCUCUCUCUCUCAAUGAAUUCAGAAGAAAUCCGAUCGAUCCAAGUCUUAUUAAGAUGAGCACACCCGUCAGAAGAGAGUCGGGGGUAUCCAUGAUGUGGUGAAAAAUAAUUCCACGCCCAGUCUGCCACAGCUAUCACCGCCAGAUAGCUCCUUUCAAUUUAGAAGUUGCUUGCUAUCUAGUCGUGAUAAGCCCAAGGUCUUGUGACCUAUUUGGCACUGUGCCAGAUCCGUGGAAAAUGAAUGGGCGGUACUUAUUCAUUAGUCUGUGCUCCUUUCGGCGUGUUAGAGCUGGCGUUGUUCAAUGAGUUUUAAUGUUAUUGUAGUUUGUGUACUGAAUUUUCCUAUUUUUCUCAUAUUCUUAUAAAGGAGAACGGUAACGAUGUAAUGUUUUUUGGUAAAUGGAUUUUCCCUUUUCCCCGUCGACGUUUAGUGUCCUUGACAUGAAGUGACUGAAUAUCUCUCUCUCUCUCUCUCUCUCUCUCUCUCUCUCUCUCUCUCUCUCUCUCUCUCUCUCUCUCUCUCUCUCUCUCUCUCUCUCUCUCUCUGUCAGGAAUUUAUCUAGUCUUCCUUGUUACCAAGGGAACAUUCAGUGUGGAAACUUAUUUCCUGUCGUCGGCGUUUCUUGCUGUUUGAAUGGCUUCUUGCUGUAACAUUGAACUUUACGGAGUUUUGUUUCCUCCUUGGCGGUGUUUUAUUUUGGUUGGUUGGGCAAGUGAUGUUAAUGAGAAGUUGCCUUUGAGCUGCAUUCAGUGCCAAGGCUUCUAUCGGCGUUUUUCUUCCCGUGUAACCACAAGAGUUCAGUUGUGAUACAUUGUGUUGUGGAAGUCAUCUCCACAAGUCAUUUGUUGUUCAUGCCCAUGCCCAUUUUAAUAGUAACUGUUUUAUCACAUAUUCAUACACGCUUUGUCUAUUUGUAUGUAUGUGUGUGUGUAUGUAUGUAUGUAUGUAAUGUAUAUGUAUGCAUUAUUUACUUGUGAUGACAGUCCCGUAGAAGGAAACAAUCAAAAUAGAUCAAUAAUUUAGCCCUUAUAUUUAAACCUGCCAAGGUGCACAUUCACAAAUGACACUGGACAUCGUACAGGGCUUAUUUUGUGAUUUAAACUUUUGGACAACUUUGUAUCAAAACGCGUUAAUUUCUAUUAACAUAAGCAUUCAUGCUUAUGGAUAGUGCACCACGGAAGCAGUUAAGCAAUACUGUAAUUCUUAAUUUAAAAUGUCUGUGUGAAUAUUGUUUAAAAUUUAAAAUGUCUGUGUAAAUAAAGUUAAACAAAGAAAUGUGUUCACGAGAUGGAAACGUGGACAGUGCACAGAGGGGUACGUACGUAGUUGGCCGGUUAUUUGAGAGAUAUCUUCACGUGUUGGCACUGGGCACUCGCUGCCCAUUCAGGUGCCAGAUCUCCCAGUGCAGAUUUCUGAAGAAUGCAGGAUGCGAUAGGAGUAAUGUUUCUUAUCGCUGAAAAGUUUUAUAAAUUGUUUCACUGGUGGUAUAUGAGUCAUCGUUGGUGAAAUAUGUGUGGGUCACUAUUUUGUCAUAUUUUUUUAUGUUGCUAAUAAUUUUUUUUUCAUAAUUAAUGUAAUAAACCCUAUACUUGCCUUGACUUUCCAUGCAGGGAUGUCCACUUUGCAUAUGUUUUUCAGUCUGUGGAAUUCUUAUAUUCCUUCCAAAUGGAAACUUUAUACUUAGCUUGUUUAAAUCCAUUUAUAUGGCGCUCCCAAUAUUGCAGUCAGCCGUGAUAAAUAAAUGCUGUACCUUAAACACCUAAUUGGCAGGGAGCCUUUUAGGUUGAAAAAUGAGUCCCUCUUAGGGACUUGGCUGUGGGAUGCGUCGUUUCUUUACAUCGUAAGCAUUCGUACGUGAAAUUUUUAAUCAGGUGUUUUAGAUUAGAACACUCGCCUUUUUCCGUUGCAUCCUGGCUUGGACGUUCAGUAUGCCGAGUUAAACUAAGGCUUUCAAUACGGACUCAUACCGAUGAAAUUUAGUUUUAUCGUUAAGCAAGUAAAUUGUAAUGAGGUAAUAUUGAUGUUGGUUUUUAUUAAAUAUGUAUAUAUUAUUUCUUGGCUACAUUACUCAACCAUCUUUAUGUAUGAAACCUUAAAUUCGUUCCUUCGUAUAUUUCUAAGGUUAUACGUGUACUGUUAUUUUGAGUUCUAAAUUUGGAGACAAGGUGUCAAGAGAAGUCUUCUCCACUAUUUGAAAUCUCUCUCUCUCUCUCUCUCUCUCUCUCUCUCUCUCUCUCUCUCUCUCUCUCUCUCUCUCUCUCUC